rnacentral:misc_RNA from 1 species
GGGGAUUGGAGACCAUGAAGAACAUGAGAUACUACUCACCACCUCCUCCGAAAAGCACACAAAGUUAGAUGAAAACCAGUGGAAGUCAGCUCAAUGCAAAUCCUCUAAGCACUGCUAUCAGGAUUCAAAAGGGAUCUUCCUACUACCAUGAUGACUGUUUGUACCCAUCCCAUCCUCCCUCUGGCUCCUUUCUCUUCAUUAUGCCAAUUGCUGGCUGGUAAACCCUCAUAUGCUCU